rnacentral:misc_RNA from 1 species
CAACUCCUUUUUCCUCCCAAAAAUCACUCACAAUAAUGGCUUUACAACAACCAUUUCUAUCUGAAUUACUACUCCACUCAUCUUCAAUUAGAACAACACUCCCCAAAAGUUCACUUUUUUCUCUACAAAUACCUCAAAGAUUCAAUCUUUAUCUUCAAAAUAAGCAAAUCAAGAAACAAGGAACAAGUUGUUAUGCAAUUGCUGAGAAUCUUGAAGCUGAGGAUCAAAGUUUGAUUUUGGAAAAUUCAAGUUUAGAUGAGUUGAGGGGACAAAGGGAAAUUGUUGGUUAUGAUUGGACUGAAGAAUGGUAUCCUUUGUAUUUAACCAAGAAUGUACCUAAUGAUGCACCUUUAGGUCUUACUGUCUUUGAUAAACAAGUUGUUUUGUAUAAAGAUGGAAGUGGUGAACUUAGAUGCUUUGAAGAUAGAUGUCCACAUAGAUUGGCCAAACUCUCCGAAGGGCAACUGUAUGAUGGCAAACUGGAAUGCUUGUAUCACGGUUGGCAGUUUGACGGAGAUGGUAAAUGUGUCAAGAUACCACAGCUACCUGAAAAUGCUAAAAUUCCUCGAUCAGCUUGUACGAAGACAUAUGAAAUUCGGGAUUCCCAAGGAGUAGUCUGGAUAUGGAUGUCUCAUGGAACACCACCUAAUAUUAACAAAAUCCCCUGGUUUGAAAAUUUUGAGAGGAAAGGAUUUCGAGACAUUUCUACUAUUCACGAGCUCCCUUAUGAUCACUCUAUUCUUCUCGAAAACCUUAUGGAUCCUGCUCAUGUCCCGAUAUCACACGAUAGGACAGAUUUUACGGCGAAAAGGGAAGAUGCUGGACCACUGUUUUUCGAGGUGACAGAAAGGACUAACCGAGGGUUUGCAGGGUGGUGGGGUAAAGAAAGAGAUCAAGGCAAAGCAAACUAUACUCCGAACUUCUUACGUUUUGAAUCUCCUUGUGUUCUUCAGAAUAAUAGAGAAAUUGUUGAUGAGAGUGGGGAGAAGCAUUACUUUUCGGGUCUUUUUCUUUGUAGACCAUCUGGACAAGGGAAAUCGAUGCUUAUUGUUCGGUUUGGGAAUACAAGAAAACGAACCGGGAUACUUAAAUUUAUCCCAAACUGGUUCUUGCAUCAGAAUGCAAGCAAGGUUUUCGAGCAAGAUAUGGGGUUCCUUUCGUCCCAAAACGAAAUCCUAAUGAAAGAAAAGGUUCCAACAAAGAAACUAUACUUGAACCUUAAGUCGUCGGAUACAUGGGUAGCUGAAUACAGGAAGUGGAUGGACAAAGUGGGGCACGGAAUGCCUUAUCAUUUCGGUCACAGCACCAUUUUCCUGCCUCAACAACCUGCUGUCGUUGAGCACGCCCCUGCUGGUUUCGUUGCCAAUUUUUCAGCUGCUCAGCCAGCUAAAGGAGGAAUCGGUGGAAUAUAUGCUCCGAACCCUGCCAACAGAUACUUCAGACAUGUUGUACAUUGCAGGGAUUGCAGCAACGUUGUUAAAGCUUUCGAGACUUGGAAAAAGGCCCUCUCUGUUAUAGCUCUCGUGUCAACUGCAUUCGCGAUUCUAGUGUCUGGAAGACAAUGGAAGGCCUUGCUUUUGCUUUCGACGUCGCUAUGUUUAGCUGGUGCAUAUGCUUGUUCAACAGCCAUUGCAAUGAACACAACCAACUUCAUAAGGACUCACAGAAGAUUGUAAAAAGAAAUUGAAUGUCCGCGAGAUGUUGGUGCAACUAUCUACCUGG